UCUCCAUCUUGAUUUUUUUUUUCAUAUCUACUUAUGGGAUACAUUUGAAAACACAAAAAAUGAGGCCGAAAGAUUAUAGACCUUUUGAUUUUGCUCGAUUUCAUCUAGGGAGCUGAAGUUCUUUUAGUCUUUAUACCUUUUUCUUUUCAUUUUGAUGUCUCUGGAUAAGAUUUAUUCAUAUUACAUUUUUUUAUUACAAGACUUAUACUUGCUUAUUGCGUGUGUAUUCAAAUGCGAGAUUGCUGGUUGAUAGAAUGGGAGGUGCACCAUGUAGAAUUUCUCCUAUUUUAUAUGCAAAUUUCAUUUGGUUGAUAGGUUCAUAUAGGGAUUCUGCUAAUUUUUGGGACAGUAAUUGGUUCAAGGGUGAAUGUGGCUAAGAGGACCAUUUUCUAUGGGGAUUAGAUGAAAGGUUAGAGAGUUACCUAAAUUCACAUAUGUGCAAAGAAGAAUGACAAAAGUAUCUGACAGAGGUAAUAACAUGUGAAAUCCUAUCAACUGUGGAAUCAAAAUGAGUUGGCUUCUUUCUACAUGCAUCAACUUAAAUGAUCUGGGAUGAAGCAUAGGAAAUUCAGAUUCAAAAAAUCUACUCCAUUUCUCAUAGGCUAAGGUGUUCGAUAGUACGACAAAGCACUAGACUGAGCUAAGGUGUUCGAUAGUAUGACAAAGCACUAGACUGUUUCAAAUUUUCUUAUUUUUCUCAUUAGGUUUACUGCAACAUAUUCCUCUGCCAAUCAACAAUCUUACAUGCCUUCUAAUUAACGACGCUUGGUGUCCCUAUCAUUGGCACGUAGGAGGGCAAAUAGAGGCAAGAGAGACUCAACUCUCAAAAAUUUGUGUCUCAACCUCUUCCGAAAUCUGUGUCUCAACCUCUUCAAGCUCCAUUUAUGUGAAACUGGUGAGUUUUUCCAUUUUUCUGUUCUUUUUCUUAUUGUUUAUCUUUUUAUACCAACUUUUUGUCCAUCAAAAAUGUAGAUUAUAAUGAGUGAAUUUUAGAAGAAAAAAAAAAGAAUGACUAUUACUUUUGACAUAUUGAGAGCUAUUUACAACGGGAAAGUCCACAAAAAAACGACAAGUGUUGCAUACCUUGAAGGAAGGUGGCAGGUUCUAUUGUUUUUGCUAAAUAGUUUGGAUCUCACUGCUUGGGUUAGUUGUUGAACUUUCUUCAUAACUUCCUCCUGUUUUUCUCAAUUUUUCAAAGUAUGAAAUUUCCUAUUGAUGGAUAUGUGAUUGUAGUUUAUGGCUUGAGAGCCCUAAGAUUUUUAAUUCGGCUCUCUAAGUUCACUAAUGUAAUCGUAGAUAGUAAUUUACAUAAAUGCAUAUAUACUUCAAUCAACUUAGUCUUAAUCAAUUACCUGAAGAAGUUGGUAAUUUGCUUCAAACAUCCUAUAAUGUUGAUAAAUAGGGAUGAUCGAAACAAUAUAUUAGGUACAAUGUAUUCUAACUUAAAAGGUCAUAAUUGCUUCACUAUUGCAAGGUAUUCAAUUGUGUUAAAGCUGAAAAUACAUCUAUUUACCUGUAACAAUGCUUCACCUUUUCUGUCUCGCUGUUUAUAUAAUACUCCUAUCAUUUCAAUUUAUUUUUUCUAUUUUGAUUUGGCACGAAGUUUAAGAAAAUAAAGAAGAAUUUUGAAUUGUGUGGUCCUAAGGGAAAGAUACAUUCUUUUUGGGACUAAAAGGAAAAUAAGACAAAUAAAUUGAAAAAAUUGAUGGAGUAGUUCUUCUUUGUAAGUAUCACUUGUGUAAUAAUAACUGUUAUGUUCAGUUUUUCGAAGGUAAUGAGGCAUGAAACAGAAGGGUGAUUUCAUGAAUUUAGACAUUCAUCCGUAAUUGCAUUUAAUGUCAUUAUAAUUCCCGUGGAGUUGAUGUGAAAAAUGUAGCUAUAACAUAGAGGAAAGAACAUACUGAUGAGAACACCUCUGAAGUAUGGCAAUGCCAACAUUAAUGGCCUUGGUUUCUUCUCUUGUUUGAUGUCUGUUUCUCCCUAUCUGUUCCCAAAUUUCCAUACAUGUUUUUCUAAGAAUAUGUCAGCUACAAAGUACAUGUCUAGCUUAAGUGAUGAUUUAACAGCAUGGUGGAUUUUUUUUAUCAAUUGAUAUUAUGUUUUCAUUCACAGUGAUGGUAAUGAGGCUUUCGGUGACCAAAGUGAUGGAACCCUUGGAGUAAGGGUACACCUUUGAGAUUAUUGUUCUGUUAGUAAUAUCUCAAAAUCUUUUCACAAUACAAUACAUUACAACUGGUGAUCUCACUUUAGGCUCACGAAAAGAGGGCAAUUUGAUUGCUACACCCUUUACUGGAUUUUUUGAUGGCUAAUUUUGAAGAUAACGUGAUGAUUGCUUUGUAUUGGGGCGGUGAAAUAAUCACGGAAAUGAAUGAAUUUCGAUAUAACGAAUGUGCCAGAAUGAUUGUUAGCAUGUCUAUUUCAAUCAACUACGUUGAAUUAAUUAGAUUGUUGCAUGAGAAAAUGGGGACUGAUGGAGGAAUAUUCAAUUGGAUAUUUCUGGAAAAUAUCCAUGCUCAUUUUAAGGUAAUAUUAUAAGAUUUAUUGAGUUCAAAAUUGAGAAUGACCAGUCUUUGGUACAAGUUUUUGCCAUUUCUCAGAAUUUUUUGAACAAGAUUGAUAUAAAUCUUUUGGAGAUGUAUAUAAAGAUUAAACCAAUAAAUCAAGAUAAUCUAUUUCAAAUGAAUGAUCAACAUGGCUAUCAAAUGAACUUAUUGGCUCAAAAUUAUGGAUUUGUCACAUUCAGUCAGCCUCAUUUGACAUACACUGCAACACAUGGUAUUCAUCAAUCAUUUGAUGAAGGCUCAGAUAGUCAAAGACAUAUUGAGAGUAGCCACAAUCAAUAUGAAAUCAGAGAAGAUGAGGCCACCUUUGAUUUGUCUAAUGACGCACAUGCUCAAAGAAGUGAUGAAAAUUUGGAGGAGGAUGAGCCUUCAAAAGAUGACGGAGAGAGUAAAGUCAUUCAAAGUGAAUCCGAUGAAGAUAUUGGAGAUUUAUCUCAAAAUGAAAGUGCAGUAAAUUUUCAAAAUCAAUUUGAUGAAAUGUAAAAUAAUGAUAUACCUUACUUUACAACAGUGGAGACUGAGGAAGAUAUUUUUAUCUCUACUCGUGAAUUCGAAAUAAAAUGUUAUUCUUUUUGGGUCGA